GGCUCCACAGUGUAGUGGUUAGCACGUCUGCUUUACACGCAGAAGGUCCUGGGUUCGCACCCCGGGUGGAGCCA
rfam:Pteropus alecto contig54387, whole genome shotgun sequence.